rnacentral:rRNA from 1 species
CCUACGGGGGGCUGCAGUAAGGAAUAUUGGUCAAUGGACGAAAGUCUGAACCAGCCAUGCCGCGUGAAGGAUGAAGGUCCUCUGGAUUGUAAACUUCUUUUAUCUGGGACGAAAAAAGGGAAUUCUUUCUCACUUGACGGUACCAGAAGAAUAAGCACCGGCUAACUCCGUGCCAGCAGCCGCGGUAAUACGGAGGGUGCCAGCGUCACCCGGAUUCACUGGGUUUUAGGUGGGCGUUGGAGUGCGGUUAGAAAUCUCCGGGCUUAACCCGGAAACUGCCAUUGAUACUAUCUGUCUUGAAUACUCUGGAGGUAAGCGGAAUAUGUCAUGUAGCGGUGAAAUGCUUAGAUAUGACAUAGAACACCGAUUGCGAAGGCAGCUUACUACGGAGUCAUUGACACUGAGGCACGAAAGCGUGGGGAUCAAACAGGAUUAGAUACCCUAGUAGUC